rnacentral:rRNA from 1 species
GAUGAACGCUGGCGGCGUGCCUAAUACAUGCAAGUCGAGCGAACGGACGAGAAGCUUGCUUCUCUGAUGUUAGCGGCGGACGGGUGAGUAACACGUGGAUAACCUACCUAUAAGACUGGGAUAACUUCGGGAAACCGGAGCUAAUACCGGAUAAUAUUUUGAACCACAUGGUUCAAAAGUGAAAGACGGUCUUGCUGUCACUUAUAGAUGGAUCCGCGCUGCAUUAGCUAGUUGGUAAGGUAACGGCUUACCAAGGCAACGAUGCAUAGCCGACCUGAGAGGGUGAUCGGCCACACUGGAACUGGGACACGGUCCAGACUCCUACGGGAGGCAGCAGUAGGGAAUCUUCCGCAAUGGGCGAAAGCCUGACGGAGCAACGCCGCGUGAGUGAUGACGGUCUUCGGAUCGUAAAACUCUGUUAUUAGGGAAGAACAGAUGUGUAAGUAACUGUGCACAUCUUGACGGUACCUAAUCAGAAAGCCACGGCUAACUACGUG